rnacentral:lncRNA from 1 species
CCAUAAACAAUGCCAUUUGAGCAUUAGAUCUGGGGCAGACUAAUAUGUCAAACUUGACAUAUCCAAAAACAAAACUCCCAAUUUUCUCACCUCCCCUUCCAAAACACUUCCUUUCCAAAACAUUUCCUUCCUAAUAAGUGACUUCUUCAUCCUUUCAUUUGCCCAAAACCUUGAAUUCAUGCUUGGAUCCUCUCUGAUUUUCAUGCAAUGGAUGUUUGACACUUUAGCAAAAUUCACUGGCUUUACCUCCAAAAUAAUUCUUGUCAUCUCUAUUAUCUUAAUGCCAGUUAUUAUCAUUUCUUCUCUGAACUACUGAAAUAAUCUCUUAACUGGUUUCCAUCAUGAACCUAGCCCACAUAUUCUAUUUUCAGCACAGCAGAUCAUGAUCUUUUGAAAAUAUAUCCAACCAUGUCAUUUCUCAAAAAUUUCCUAUGGCUUUUCAUCUCACACAGAAUAACAAAAGUAUCAGCCAGACUUACCAGCUCUUCCAUGAUAAAUCUUCCCUCUGCUCUCUGACCUUAUUUUCUACUCUUUUAUUGUUCGAGCCAGACUGGCCUCAUUUCUGCUUUUCCUAUAUUCUACGCUUGUUCUCAACUCAGGCUCUUUGCAUUUUCUGAAAUAUUCUUAUUUUGUCAAAUAUCUGUUUGACGAAAUAGCAUCACCCUAUCAUUGAGGCCUUUCCCACCACCAUUUAUGAAACAGCAAACCAUUUCAACACUCCCUCCUCCAAAUCCUCUUUCCUUGCUUUAUUUAUUUAUUUUUAUUGGUUGCUCAAAACAUUACAAUGAUCUUGAUAUAUCAUAUAUCAUAAUUUGAUUCAAAUGGGGUAUUAAUUCUUAUUUUUACCACGUGUACAGAUUGCAGGGUCAUAUUGGUUAUACAGCCACAUUUAUACAUACUGCCAUACUAGUGUCUGUUGUAUUCUGCUGCCUUUCCUAUCCCCUUCCUAUUCCCCCUCCCCUCCCCUCCCCUCCCAUCAUCUCUCUCUACCCCAUCUACUGUAACUCAUUUCUCUCUUUUUUUCCCCUUUCUCCUCACAUCCUCUUAUAUGUAAUUUUGUAUAACAACGAGGGUCUCCUUCCAUCUUCCGUGCAAUUCCCCUUCUCUCUCCCAUUCCCUCAUACCUCUCAUCCCUGCUUAAUGGUAAUCUUCUCAUGCUCUUCCUCCCUGCUCUGUUUUGAGUCGCCCUCCUUAUAUCAAAGAAGACAUUCGACAUUUGUUUUUUUAGGGAUUGGCUAGCUUCACUUAGCAUAAUCUGCUCUAAUGCCAUCCAUUUCCCUGCAAAUGCCAUGAUUUUGUUAUUUUUUAGUGCCGAAUAAUAUUCCAUUGUGUAUAAAUGCCACAUUUUUUUUUUAUCCAUUCAUCUAUUGAUGGAUAUCUGGGUUGGUUCCACAGUCUAGCUAUUGUGAAUUGUGCUGCUAUGAACAUUGAUGUAGCAGUAUCCCUAUAGUACGCUCUUUUUAGGUCUUUGGGGAAUAGUACGAGAAGGGGAAUAGCUGGGUCGAAUGGUGGUUCCAUUCCCAGCUUUCCAAGGAAUCUCCAUACUGCUUUCCAAAUUGGCCGCACCAAUUUGCAGUCCCACCAGCAGUGUACAAGUGUACCCUUUUCCCCACAUCCUCACCAGCACUUGUUGUUUGACUUCAUAAUGGCUGCCAUUCUUACUGGAGUGAGAUGGUAUCUUAGAGUGGUUUUAAUUUGUAUUUUUUCGUGUAUUUGUUGAUUGAUUGUAUAUUCUUCUCUGAGAAGUGUCUGUUCAGAUCCUUGGCACAUUUGUUGAUUGGGUUAUUUGUUUUUUUUUAUUGUUUAAUUUUUUGAGUUCUUUGUAUACUCUGGAUAUUAGGGCUCUAUCUGAAGUGUGAGGGAUAAAAAUUUGUUCCCAGGAAUUAGGGUCCCUAUUUACCUCACUUAUUGUUUCUCUUGCUGAGAAAAAACUUUUUAGUUUGAGUACGUCCCAUUUGUUGAUUCUUGAUUUUAACUCUUGUGCUAUAGGUGUCCUAUUAAGGAAUUUUGAGCCCGACCCCACGAGACGGAGAUUAGAGCCAACUUUUUCUUCUAUUAGACGCAGAGUUUCUGGUUUGAUCCCUACCUCCUUGAUCCAUUUUGAGUUAACUUUUGUGCAUGGCGAGAGAAAGGGAUUCAGUUUCAUUUUGUUGCAUAUGGAUUUCCAGUUCUCCCAGCACCAUUUGUUGAAGAUUCCUUGCUUUAUUUUUGACCACAGCAUUUAUUACCUGAUAUACCAUACUUUUGUUUAUUUUCUGUUUAUCUCUGCUAGAAACAAGACACAUAGUAGGCACUUAAUAAAUAACUACUCAACAAGGUAUUGAGUGGUUCAUGCAUGAUGCUAGUCUCUAGGGGUUAUAAAGACGAAAAAUGCUGACUUAGCCUACUGAGGCAUUCAGAGCCUCCUUAGUUUUUAAGAAGGGACCAUACAAAUGAUUACAGUACAGCAUGCUUUUCAGAUUAUCAUUUAAGUGGAUUAAUCUUCACACAGUAAAAC